rnacentral:misc_RNA from 1 species
GGUCGACUGGCGGAGAAGAGGAUUCUGGGAACGACUAAUCAGAAUGGACUGGUUUCUCCCUCCACCUGCUUGGAAAAUACUACAGACGAACAAAUGUACGAACGGGAAGAGGAAAAUAGUGGUUACAGUGAUAGUGUAAAGGAUCUGGUCCAGAAAGCUAAAUCAAAUCACCAGGGGGCUCUGACGACAAUGGAUACAGUGCGUAAACAAAUCCAUGGGGAAAGUACAAGUCCUGAACCCAAACGAGAGAGUCGCCUAACCAGCAUCAUUGACCAACUGCUAAGCAACAAGACGAAGGACAUGCACCAAACUGAUGAUGAUAACAAGAGAAAUGAAAAAGACACUGAAAGUUUCUGUGAAAAGCAAUCUAGUGAUCCAGAAUCACAAGAUAAUGAUUCAGAAGGUACGCUCAAUCGGGAGAUAAGAAGCACGAGGUCUGACACAAACCAGUCAGACACAAACUGUGGGGAAAAGAGUUUUGACCACGUAAUCCAAACUACUAGAGCUGACCAACAAUUACGUUGCGCGUCUACCAGCCCAACAAGACGAUCGCCGGGUAACUACGGAUCUCCUUCCACCUGCAGUACUGAAACUCAAAAUAAAGAUUACCAAGGAUCAUCGCCUGGUGCGCAACUAGAAAAUAGCACGAGAAAAACUAGCACAGAGGGGAUUUUCCCUGCAGGCACUGACUACAAGGCACCACCUGGUGGAGGUCAGCAGCAGCAGCUCGGAGCCUCAGCUUUUUCUUGUUCCUCAUCUAUUAUUUCUCUAAACAACGACAUGCCCACAGACAUGUUAUUAACUGCGCGGGACUCCACCACUUUGCCCGUCAAGCCAGAGCGUCUAUCCCCGGAGUUUGAGUCUUCUUCGCCCUCUGUGUCGCCACACUCACCAAACUCCUCUCGAGCUUUUCCCUCAACUCUCGGUCUAGGAUUUGGGCUCCGGGGAGCUUUCCCUCCAUCCUCUCCUGGUCUGGAGCGGUGCACGUCUUCUGGAUUAGCUUGUGGAGCAUCGGCAUUAAAACAGAUGGAAAUGAUGACUAGGAACUACAGUGAUUUCAUGCGCUGCCUUGCUGCAAAGUAUAACAACCAAAACAAUCAAGAAAGUUUUAGUUUUGUUCAACCUAAUGGGAUAGCUCGACCUUUUGAAACUCAUCUGUACAAGAGCGGAAUUCUGGGAAGAACUUCAGAACCGUCAGACAACAACAGUAGAAAAUUAGAAAGCCACCACAAGUUAUCUCCUGUCCUUGGAGAGAACCGUACAGUUCCCUUCAGUUUCGGCGAUUUUUCAUCUUCACAAACGCUUCUAAACCUAGUUCGAACUGCCAGUGCGCAGAGUGCUUCUCAGCUGGAAAACUAUCUUCGAGGGGCAAAUAAGAGACCACUCGAGUCAGAGAAUAAAUCGGAUCCUUUAGAUCUAACGAUGGGGACAACAAAGCGCCCUCGUUUGGAUACCACUGAUACAUUACUGCAUCGUUCUCGACUGUAUUCGCCUAUUUCACAAAACAUUAGUGACAUUAUUGGCUGUAUAAAAACAGAAACAGAAUCGCUGACAAGUAAUCAUAAUGAUCCCGUGUCAAAGGUCAGCGUCCGAAAAACUCCAAGUUGGUCGAACUUACUAGACGAAAGAAUAUCCAAAUCCGAGAAUUCACCUGUUCGGACAUCGCCCAAAUCUUCUGAUAAAGUUCGUUGUCCUUCCUUUUGUACCGACAAAUCUUGUUCAAACAAGUCAAAUGCUAGUGAGGUUGCACUGUGGACUAUUGAUGACGUUGUGAGGUUUGUGACGUCGGUGGAAUCUUGUGCCGAAUAUGCUGACUAUAAUUUAACUUAAUAUAAUGAUAAUGCAGAAAUCCCUAAGAUGUGAGUGUUCAAUGAUAGACCACUACUUGGAGAAUGUGUACUUGCAUGGGGUUACAAAGCCGGGAAGAGAGUCUAAUCGUUGAACUUCAACUGAAGGUAUAUUGUGGAUAUUAGGAUUUUCUACCUAAUGAUUUCUGACUGUCCUUUCUCAGGAUAGAAAUCUAAUGAUCAGUAUACAGACUUGAAGAGUAGUUAUGAUAUUAGAAACCACCAACUAGCUUUCAACUUUAAGAUACGAUAUUCAUUCAGUUUACGGAAUAGUUCCCCUUACUGAUAGCUGCAAUAUACAAAUUGGGGAGAAUACAUUGUCAGCGAGGUGUUUAUUAAAUGUAAGACACAAGUGAUUAUGAUACAGUCUUGAGACUUUCCUUAUGAAGGACACGCACCAAAUGAGUUAGUCUUUUUUUUUUCAGCGUCUGAGUAGAUGAAUUACAAAUUACGUACUCUAAAACCUCUCGUACUCAUUCGGUGUUAGUAAACUCGGAGAUCUCUCCCAUGUUUUAAGGUACGUGUAUGCCCAUAGCUACCGAAUCCAAUUAUAGUUGUCUAGAAUGUGCGUGAUCAUUGAAACAGACUAUACAUCCACCCCCGCCUUUUUUUUCUUGAUAUCUAUGGAAGGCCACCACUGUAUAGUUUGAAUGAGCGACCUACCUCUGUCUGAAACCAGUAGCAGAAAAGCAAGUAAUAUUUUUUUAAGGUGCCUUAGGGCUGCAGAGGUGAAAUCCAACAUACCGUAGUACCUACCUCCGGAAGAGAAAUUAACAAACAUGCUAUUUACUGGCAUGAGUCACUUUAAAAGAGAGAAAAGAGAUGGUCUUCUCAGCCUCUAACCACUGACCCAUGACGCUUGGAAACAUACACAGUUUCGUGCUUUUUGGCACCAGAUCCUGGUUGGAAAUGAAGAGAAACGACCCCACGUUCACGUAAUGAACCUAAACUGGUGAAAUUAUCGGAGUAUGAAGUAAACAUCCAGCGUGAAACUAUAUUCUUUUUUCAAACCACUCCACCUAGCGGCUGAAUAGGGCUAGAUGAUCAGCUGUGUGACAGGGUCUCCGGACUUACGGAAGAGUUAGAACGUUAGAACAAAACUAGAAGGGCAUUAUCCCUGGGUACAUUGGCCUCGCCCUAUAAUUGUAAAGGAAACAGAAUUUCCGAGAACACUCCAUAGAUGGCACCAGCUUACCACUCCUGAAUGAAGAUCAUUUGACAACUUAUUUAGGAAUGAAACUUGGGCCUGCAUUAAAACUACGAUCAAAAUUGGCGAAGAAAAUAGGACAU